CUGCACGCGUUUGAGAUAAGAAACCAACCUCCUUCUCUUGCAACUCCAAGGUUUCUCCAUCUCCCUCUAUGUUUAAUUAAUCUCUCUCACCCUAUAUCUAGUCCUGUAUUGAUUAUGAGAAAGGGUCCGUUAAUUAGGUUUUUCUGGAAAAAUUAAAGAUUUACUUUGGGGAUCUCAUUUUUCUAGGGUUUAUGAUGUGCAUAGAAUUAAUGUCGUUAUGAUUUUUAGCAGCAGCAACAACAUAACAACCUCAGAUGCUACAUUUUAUAUGAAUCAAAGGAUCCUAUGGUUGCUCAUGAAUCCAUUGCGAAACAGGUAUGUGGGAAUGAGCAAUACCAUCACCAAGUACUCAUUUACCUACAGAAUUAUGUGAGCAUAGUAAUUGGUCGGGCUGCAGAUAGAGUGGUAAAGACAUACCUCGUACCACCCAGGUGCAUUGAUGCUUACUAAUCUACUAAUGCGGUGAAGAAGGAAGAAAAUAACUAGGUUGGUCUUCGGCUGCUGCUAAUGAUACUCGUAGGAGAGUCCUAGGCUCUCUGCCCAAGGUAUAAACACAGGAAUCCCGUCAAAGCAGACAAGUCCAGUAGCUAACGGUUGCUGUUACUAAAGAUCGGUAUUGAUUAUAUAUGCAUAAUUUUUGGAAGAUACCCCAGAUCAUUCAACACGCAGAACAGAACAAUAAUAAAUCGUAGUAACUAUAUGCAUCACUUUCAUGUGGAAGUGACUGAACCAGGAAUAUUUUAGCAUUCUAGUGAUUUGUAGUGCUUGAUUGGAAUCCUAGCUAUUCUAGUUUCUUGGAUAUAACUUCCAAAGAUAUGUGAAUAUGCUGUAGAAUGCGGAAUGCCUAUAUUGUGCAAGAUUGAUUUUGGUUUAUGAUUAAUUCCCAAGGAGCAGACCGUAUAAAUUGCUUGAAACUAUUCAGUUAUCUGGCUCAACUUUUUUGGGAAGAUCUGGUGUUCAUCAAGGCGUGCUGCUGUUUCCAGUAGCCGUGAUGUGGUUGCUGGACUGAAUCUGACCCAUCUCGCCCUCGAACCACCAAAGGGGGCACUACGCAGCAAGGUAUCAGGUACACCGCAACAUAGAGCUUUGAAUGUUCUUUUCUCAGAUUCCGAGAGGACAUUCUGGUAGGAUGUUAUCUAACUCGAAGACUCAUGAGUCUACUCUGUAGGGCAUGGAGUUUUCGAAUUUCGAUAAUGAUUAGAGGUUGCAGAAUUAACUGCGCACUUUGUCAUCUCUCUCUCUCUCUCAGUCUGUCUCUUCCCUGUAAAUCAAAAACGGAUGUACUGUUAUUACGGCUGGAGUGUGUGAUCAUUAUUUCCUUCAAGUUGUAUUUCUGAGGGAAGUAGUGAUCAGGAAAGCUAGGCACUGGUUGGGAGUAAACAAGAAGAAUAUAUGUAGCUUUCCGUUGGGUGUUUUUUUUUU